GUUUUUUGGGGGGAUGUUGUCACGGUCCGGGCGCACGUCUGCAGCAAGCAGCUGCAAUCAAUCGCCAGCAAUCAACACACCUGAAGCUGAUGAUGAGACCUGCCUUCAUAAGCCGGCACAACCUGCUAUCCCGGGCCAGAACGUAGUUUCCUGUUCAGUACAGUAAGCCAAGAUGUCAAGCUCUAUGCGCACUGUUUGCUCUCUGUGUUUUCUCCCCCGUCGUGUUCAUUGUCUUGUGUCCUCCUUGUCACCUCUCUGCGGCCUGCCUUCGUUCCCACGUCACGAGCUGUGUGUCUCGGCUCCCUGCGUCCCCUUUGGUUCCCUGGAUGCAUCUUGGAUCUCGACCUCCCGCCUGGACACGGACUCUGACGCCCCGCUAGUACCCCCGACUACGUGCCUGCCUCACGGAUCUUCGAGCCUGCAUUUCCCCUCAGGGACUUCCGCCCCUUGCUCAACACUCCCGCUGUGUGCCCCGACUUUCCUGUUGGAUUCCGGACUGCCUCCCUCGAUCCUCGACCCCUGAUUGGACACGGAUCUCGUUGCUUCUCUCCAGCCCCCGACCGCUUGCUUGCCCACGGACUGCCAUCUUGCCUUGCCCCUCUGGUCUGACGAAAGAUUCGCUCAACACUCACGCGAGCUGUCAGCCGCCAGCUCGGCUGCAGUCGUAGAGCCAGCCUGGGGACUGGAUGGACGUCAGAGACGGGAAGAGUGACAGAGGACAUGCCAGGUUCGCCAUCUGAAGCUGGACAACAGAAGAUAUCUAUUUCUCAGAGCUCUAAUCUGUCCGGCACACUGAGGUGCGCAUUCAUCUGUGCGCUGCACUGGGCGCACCUCCAAGAGCGCACCUGCGCGCGCCACUCCGGCUGCAGCAGGCAGCUGCAAGCAAUCUGCACACCUGUCGUUGAUGAGCUCCCUGGGCUUCUUAAGCCAGUGCAGACCUGCGUUCCGGGCCAGUACGUAGUGAUCUGUUCCAGUACAGUAAGCCGACUCAUCAAGCUCUAUGCAUACUCUCUCUCUGUGUUUCUCCCCCUCCGUGUUCAUUUGUCUCGUGUCCCCCCUUGUCGCCUUCCAGCAGCAUACCUUCGUUCCCGCGUCACGAGCUGUGUCUCGUCUUCCCGUGUUCCCUCUGGUUCCCUGGCUGCAUCUUGAAUCUCGACGUCUUGCCUGGACACGGACUUUGACGCCUCGCCCCUGCCCUUGACCUCACGCCUGCCCACAGACCUCCGAGCCUGCCUUGCCCCCUUGGACUUCCACAUCUCGCUCAACACUUCCGGUAACACUCAUCAGAUAAUCGCUACACAUAGUCAGACACACACACAUUUGGAUUCGUUUCACACUCCAUUCUACUGUAAAUAUAAAAUAAACAUAGAACUAAACGACGUCCCCGCUGUCUGUGCCGUCUUCUUCCCCUGUACACCAUAACAUUCAUCCAAUUUAGUAAUGCUGCUUAAGGCUGAGCCAAUCAGUGGCCACGAUACUGAACAGCGUUAUCGGAUUUGUUUGGUCUCAUAUAGUGACCAAUACUACUGUAAUUGUUACGGCGCACGCGCAGUCUGCUUCUCCCUCCUCUGCGGGAGCACUUAGAGGCUUCGCUGUGAGCUCCACAGGACACUCCCCCGCGUUUGCCGCGUCGCCGCAGCUGGAGACAUUCUGCAAUCUGCGCACCUGGACCUGAUGAGAGGGAGCUGACUAAAGGACCAGUGGACCCAAGGAUCCUGGCGGGAACUUAGUUUCUCAAUGGUGUACCGUAAGCCGACACAAGCUUUAUGCUCUCUUUUGCUCUCUCUGUCUUCUCCCUUGUGCCCGCAGUGUUUUCCUUCCGUUGCCUUGGUUUCGAGUUGUGCGUACUCAAUUAAAAAGACAAAACGGAGACUUAGUUACCAAUGUGAGGUCCUUGUUUGGGCACGUGAUUCCGCUGAAUGAUACGCGAGAAAACUGUAACCU